CCGGCCCGGGCCCGGUGGCGGCCGGCGGAGGAGGGGGCUCCUGAGCGGCGGCUGCCGGAGCCAACGGGCGGCGGGGAGGGGGGCGGGCGCUGCGGGGGUGUCGGGUUAGAGCGAGGCGUGACCCAGCUGACAGGCGCCGUGCGGAGCCGGGCGGGCGCGGAGCCGGGCAGCGGCGAGCAGCGCACGGUACCGGCGGUCGCGGGCGGCGCGGCGUCUCCCCGCCCCAUCUCCUGUGAGCCUGGGGAACCUGCAGCUCAAAGCCGCCGCCAGCCACAGCACCAUGUACCCCGGCAACAAGCGGAAAAAGCUCUGGCGGGAGGAGAAAGGUACUGCUGCCUCCCCCCGCGCCGCGCCGCCGGGGCAAAGUCCUCCCGCCGCCGCCCCGCGCCCCUCGCAGGCUGCUCUCCCGGUGGGACAGGCCGCCGCCGCUGCCCCCGCGCCCGCAGCUUCCCGCGCCGGCAGCGGGUCCCUCUCGCCUGGUGGCGGGGGGCUGCCACGAACGCCUGCGCCUCGCCCGGGCUCCUCGGUGCCCGCCCGCGCCCCAGCGGGGCGGCGGCGCCCGGGGCCUCCCGCCGGCUCCUGCCUCCUGCGCGCCCUUUUUCCCUCCCCUUCUCGUCCCCGGUGUGUUUUGCCCCCCCCCGCUGGGCUCUUCUCCGCUCCCUCGUAGCGGGGACAACUUGGAGCGUGGCUCUCGGGGCGGGGGGGCUGCCCCAUCCCCCCACGCCGGGGCGGCGUGCGGCCCCUGCCCCCGGCUCGCGCUGCCGGUCGGAGCGCCGCCGUGCUGCGCGAGCGCGUGGUAACGGGCGUAACGACUGCUCGCCCGCCGCGGCCGUUGGGGGAGGCGGGGCGGGGGCAGGUGCGGGCCGGCCUCGCUGGGGCGGCCCCUGUGGAAGAGGGGCACCGCGGGCCUGGGGGGGAGGUGCGUUUCCUAAACUCCCUUCUCAAACUCCACUAUUGCGAGACUUUCUUUCUUUCUUUCUUUCUUCUUCUUCUUUUUUUUUUUCCUGA
rnacentral:lncRNA from 1 species